AUUGAACGCUGGCGGCAGGCUUAACACAUGCAAGUCGAGCGGGGUAAUGUAGCUUGCUACAUUACCUAGCGGCGGACGGGUGAGUAAUGCUUAGGAAUCUGCCUAUUAGUGGGGGACAACAUUCCGAAAGGAAUGCUAAUACCGCAUACGCCCUACGGGGGAAAGCGGGGGAUCUUCGGACCUUGCGCCAAUAGAUGAGCCUAAGUCAGAUUAGCUAGUUGGUGGGGUAAAGGCCUACCAAGGCGACGAUCUGUAGCGGGUCUGAGAGGAUGAUCCGCCACACUGGGACUGAGACACGGCCCAGACUCCUACGGGAGGCAGCAGUGGGGAAUAUUGGACAAUGGGCGAAAGCCUGAUCCAGCCAUGCCGCGUGUGUGAAGAAGGCCUUUUGGUUGUAAAACACUUUAAGCGAGGAGGAGGCUACCGAGAUUAAUACUCUUGGAUAGUGGACGUUACUCGCAGAAUAAGCACCGGCUAACUCUGUGCCAGCCGCCGCCGUAACAC
rnacentral:rRNA from 1 species